CACCCUCGGUCCCAGCGGCAGUGGCCACAAGGCACUCUUGCUUAACGCUCUCCGGGCCAAAGCGCUAGAGACUCCGCGAGCAUCUCUUAAUUUCGCAGCGCGGUAAGAGUCGCUAGGGCGGGCGGCAGCUCUUAAAGCUGGAAGGAGCAUCAGAUUCAGGUAGGACUGAGCAGUCGAUGCCUUUCGUGAAAAGUCACCGAGCAAAUUAAAUAUGUGUCAACAUUUAGCACCGGCAGUGCAUCCUAACAAACACACUCUCUCCCCCCCCCCCCCCCACACAGGCCCGCUAAAGCGAGCUCUACAAAUCGCUGCCUGUAUACGCUUGAAAUCUCCAUCAAGAGGUAUGAAUGAACAAGUGUUUGAAGAAGGGGAGGUUUCUGGUGGCAACUGGCCUUAAGUAAGCCUACCCCUCAGAACACCCACCUGGGGGACUGAAUGUGUUGCUCCCACUCAACUCCUUCAGAAGACCUCCAAUUCUUCCCGGGCUCUUUUCAAGUGCCUGUCCACAGGUUACCCUGGGUUUCUUACAAAGCAAUGAAAAUGGCUUGACCCAGUGAAUCUGGCAGCUAAAAAUGCUGAACAAACAGUUGCGGAGAAAUGGAUGUGAAACACGGCUGUUUGUGCCACGCGGUUGUUUUAAUGGGUUAAGCAGUCCUUUCUUCAGAGCUCUGGUUAUAUGUUCAUACUUGCGCAAACAUAUGUCUUUGGCUGUGGCUGAAAGAACGUAUGGUCUGUGGGAUUCUGAUACACCCGUAGUUCUGUGUCAGUGUAAACACCUGUGGCACUAUGAGUGCAUGUGUGUGUGUGUGUGUGUGUGUGUGUGUGUGGAUGUGAGCACUUUCUUCCAGAAAGACUUAUCUGCUCAUUUCUCCGCCUGCUUGUCUAUGGUACAGCCAGUAGAAGGGGCUCAAGCUUUUCUCCCUGCUGUUGAAAUAGCCAAGAAAAUAAGCAUUAAAAGACAGCCUCCUUUGGAAAAUGUUGAUUACUGAAGAGGGUAACUACGGUCUGAUAACACAAGUUUUUCCAAUCUGAAGACCAAAAGCGGUGUGGCUUUGAGCUUCAAAUCGCACUGCCAUCAGGGACAUUUGUGUUGGAGGCCCUGGCAUGUACCUGUCUUCCUUCUCACCUCUGGCCCUAGGCUGGGCCCACAUGCUGCCACCUGGCUGCCCACAGCCCACACCACACACAGCUUCCAGCCCACCUUCUGCUUCCAAUCAAUACUCCGACCCUCUUCCCCAUGCUACUGCUUUUCUUCGGCUAGAAAUUCAGAUGAAGAUACCUGGUGGUGUUUAAUCCUUACAAGUAGCCUCGGAGACGGGCACCAGUGUCAUCCACACUUGACAGAUGAGGACACUGGGGGUCAGAGAAUUCAAGCGCGUUGUGAACAUCAUGUGGCCGAUACGUGGCAGAGGCAGAAUUCAGAACCAGGCCCCACUGACCCCAAACCUUUAUUCCUGCUUCUCUCCCACUGACCGUUUCUACUCUCAAACAUGCUCAGGUUCCAGUCGUGGAGCCGGGACUGGGAGCGGAUACAGCUGCCUCCAAAGACUGUGUUCUGAACCUCGAUUCUUUCCUGAAAUUAUCUCAUUUGAUCCUUGCAAGGCCCUAAAAGGAACUGUUUCAUCCAUGUUUGCACAUGAGUGUACAGGCGCAAAGAAGUGAACGUUCUGCGUGAGCGCGUGGGUUCUCAUGAAGUGAACCUGAAUGUUCUAGAAUACGCAUACUCUCUUGAUGUCGUGAGCCCUUCUGAGUGUUGUGUAGCAAGUCUGGGUGUUGUGUAGCAAGUCUGGGUAUUCUCUAUGGUAAGGGGGCCUGGCUAUGGGGUGUGAGGUGAGCUUGUGGAUGACAGGUGGUCUCUAGGAAUUACGGGCCCGGCGAGGCCUGAGCAUCUGGUUUGGAGGGACUGUGCUUUGUGGGAGUGCUUCUGAGUGUUGAGACUUUUAUGAGUGUGAUUUUUCAGAUGUCCUGUCAUGCAAAUCUACGGACUGGGGACCAUGUCUUCACCUUGUAGGGCUGGCCCGUCCAGGUGUCGUGCUCUCUAAACUGCAGUCCAAACACCCUGGGACAGAUCUUGGAGUCACAGGGUGAGACUAUGUGUCCUGGGUUGAGUCUAGAGAUUCGACCGUAAAUUGUUGUGUCACAGGGCCAGUCCUUGCAUUGUCGGGUACAUCUGUGCCUCAUGGGGAAUCUAUGUGUGUUUGUUAACGAGGGGAGCCCCCUCAGGUGGGGUUCUGCCUUGACAUAGUAUGGUAUUUCUGGAGGUUGUGGUCCAUGCUGCGCAUUGCCCGUGUGAUACAGGCUGAUUCUGGAUGUGGCGUUGGCUGUAUUCUGGCAUUUCAAAGAGAAUGGGGCGGAGGCUGCGUUUGAGGGAGCUUGCGUUUGUGCUGUGGGAUUUCCCUAUGUGUCCUGGGGCAAUUCUGGGGGCUGGGGACACACGUUUUCUUUCUGGGGUGUUUGCCUACAGGCAUCCUGCUGUGCGAUGUAAUUCUGUGCUGCGGGGCAUGGCAGCGCGUGAACAUGUCUUGAGCUGGGGAUGCUUAUGCUGGGUGAGGAUGUGUCCCGUGGGGUUUGCGUGGCAAGGCAGGUCUGUGCAUCACAAGGCGCGGUGUCUCUCAGUGGUGGGGGGCAAGUGUACAUCACGAGGCCUGUCCGUCAUAUUGUGGGUCAGGUACCGAUUUGUGGGAUGUCGUGGGGCGUGUAGGUGAGUCUGAGUGCUGCGGAGCACGUCUGUGCACGGUGCGGAGAACGUGAGAUGCGAUGCGUUUGCAAGGUGUGAUUUGGCUGGAGCUAUUUCCAAGUGACUUUGCUUUGGGGAGGAAGUUGGAGCCUGAGGUGGCCCUUCUGGUACCGGGGGCGCGGGGGGGGGUGUCUGUGCAUUUUCUGGUGUUUUGUACACUGCAGGACACAUCUUUGCAUGGAGGCUCUGUCAAGGUGUUGCAGGGGUGAAUAAGGGCACUAUAUACUGUGCCUAGGUUGUGGGUCAAGGGUGCCUUGCGGGGCAAGGUUGUGUCGCAAAGCACGUCUGGUGAGGAGAAUGUGCAAUCUGGAGUAGGUCUUCCUCCUGUGGGGCACGUCUGUGUGUCCUGGGGCAAUUCUGGGGGCUGGGGACACACGGUUUCUUUCUGGGGUGUUUGCCUGGUGGAGUGAAUGUGUGUGUUUGGGGGGGAUUCUGUGCAUCAGAAUGCAAUCUGGUGUUUCGGGGAGAAACCUUUGUGUCACAGCGUAUACCUGUCCAUUGUAAGUUAGCUGUGUCUAGGUAUCGUGGAACUCGUGUGUGAGUCGUAAGACACCUGUCAGUGUUGUGUGGCAAGACUGAAUUUGUGACUGAAUAUUUGAGGUCUGUUCCUACCGUGGGGGGGGGGGGGUGACUAUAUGAUGUAGAGUUGGGCUGUGCAACAGGGAGAUUUUUGCUUUGUGGAACCUGUGGCCGAUAGGGCAUGUCUUGGUUUUCUAAGUCUGGACAUUGUGGGGCAGGUCCGUCCACUCUACAUUCGUGGUAGGUAUUGUGAGGCACUGGGGGAGUAUUGUGGUGCAAGCCUGAGUCUGGAGGCAAAUCUAGGUGUUACAGUCAUACUGGAUGCCUUACAGAGCAAGCGUUGGCAUUCUGGGGAGAACGUUUACAUGCGAGGCACAUCUCUGCGUUGCGAUACCGCUGCACGGGCUAGGGUGGGAGGCCUGCCAUGGAGCAUGUGUGACAUCGUAGGCUGAGGUGGGUAUUAAGGACAGGCUAGGCGUUGUGAGGCUCACAGACGUGUUGUGGAGCAUGUUCUGUGUGUUUGGGGGCAUAGCUGGUGGUUGGGUAGUUAUUAGCUCUGUAUGAGUCUCUGCGUUGCGAGUUAACACCGUGUAGGAGGAAUCGCUGUGCGUUCUAGGACAAUCUGGAAGUUGUAUAGAACUGGGUACGUACUGUAGGGCCAGUCUGUUUCUUGUCACAUUUUUGUAGAGCUACUGGACAAGACCGAGAGGGCCAGUCUGUGCAUUUGAGGAUGUGGCCGGGUGUGGUGGGAUGUGGCGGAGGAGCCCAGUCGUGAUAAAGGUAUGUUCUGAGACAUGUUUGUAAGUUCUUAUGCAAAACCGUGUGUUUCUGAGGAGUCUGUAUCUUUGGGGGCAGAUUUGUGGAUUGCGGGAUGUAUCCAGGAGCUGUGGGAGAAGCUGCCAACUUUGGAAUGAGUGUGUGUUUGACACAAUUCGGGGUGCUGCGGGGUGCGUGUGGCCACUGUAGGGGGAGUUCUGUGGUAGUACUGGAUCUUAGGCAUCGUUUGGAGAAUGUUUAAGCGGUAGUUGUUGCCUUUACAUUAUGACGUGUGUCUGGGCACCGUGGGACAAGGCGAGUUGUCAAUUGAUCUUAAGGGAGAGUAAAUCUGUGUGUGACACUGUGUGCGGUGCAGGAUGGGUUCGUGUAUUGGGGGCUGAGUGUCAGCAUCUGGUGCAAGUCUGGGAACUAUGCCGGUAAGUGUAUGGUGAGAUGAGUCUCUUCUCCGGGGUGGAUCUGUGAGUUGCUGGUUGCAGUUGUGCAUAACGAUGCAACUCUGUACAUGGUGGGGCAACUCAAAAAGUUGGGAGCUGAGUUGGACUGCUGUUGCUCCUUUCUGUCCGUUGCAGGGCAACCGUGGACUCGCUGAGGAUGUUUCUAUGGGGGCAUGUUUUUACGUUUUAAUGUGAUUUGGCAGCUCUCUUUAGGCUCUGUGUGUUGUACUAUGAGUUUAAGACUCUUUGGGUUGAAUCUGGGUGUUUGGGUGCAAGCCUGGGAUUUGUGGAGUUAGUGUGGUAUGGGCCAAAACUAUGUGUUGAGCUCAUUUGUCUCUUGAAGAGUGAGCUCAUGUGCUUGGAUGUAAAAUCCUGUGUGUCGUGAGAGCAAUCUCUACCUGGAACAGGUCUCAACAGUGUAGGGUGUUUCUAGUGUCACUGCGCAGGUGUGUACGCUGCUUGGGCCCAUCGUUGCACCAUGGGUUAAGUGUGGGAUGGUUCUGCCUAUUGUGGGAUGAAUUGUGUCUUGUGAUGCUAUUCCCUGCCUUGUCAGGAGAGGAGGUUGAGAGCUGUCCUUGACCCCAAGUGUUUGGGGAUUGGUCAUUGUGCUGAGGGACGUGUGUGUGUGUGUGUGGAUGUGUGUUGUGUCAACUCUGAGUAUUAUGUGGCACAUGUGUCAUGAGUUGACCCUACACAAUGCCUGGGGAAUCUGUCCACUCUGAGGUGGGU
ensembl:lncRNA